GACGAACGCUGGCGGCGUGCCUAAUACAUGCAAGUAGAACGCAGUUGCGAACGGGGGAGUAACGCGUAGGUAACUGCCUCAUAGCGGGGGAUUACUAUUGGAAACGAUAGCUAAUACCGCCUACUGUGAGAUGGACCUGCGUUGUAUUAGCUAGGUGGUGAGGUAAAGGCUCACCAAGGCGACGAUACAUAGCCGACCUGGGAGGGUGGACCGCCAAAACGGGACUUGGGCAAGGGCCAGGAUCCUAAGGGAGGCAACAAGAGGGAAACAUCGGAAAAUGGCGGAAAGCUGGCUGCGCAACGGCGGGUGGUAGAAGAAGGUUUUCCGGUCGUAAAGGUCUGUUGUUAGGGAAGCGGUACCUAACCAGAAAGGGACGGCUAACUACGUGCCAGCAGCCGCGGUAAUUC
rnacentral:rRNA from 1 species